AUUAAACGCUGGCGGCAUGCCUUACACAUGCAAGUCGAACGGCAGCACGGGGGCAACCCUGGUGGCGAGUGGCGGACGGGUGAGUAAAGCAUCGGAACGUAUCCUGGAGUGGGGGGAUAACGUAGCGAAAGUUACGCUAAUACCGCAUAUUCUGUGAGCAGGAAAGCAGGGGAUCGCAAGACCUUGCGCUCUGGGAGCGGCCGAUGUCGGAUUAGCUAGUUGGUGGGGUAAAGGCCUACCAAGGCGACGAUCCGUAGCGGGUCUGAGAGGAUGAUCCGCCACACUGGGACUGAGACACGGCCCAGACUCCUACGGGAGGCAGCAGUGGGGAAUUUUGGACAAUGGGCGCAAGCCUGAUCCAGCCAUGCCGCGUGAGUGAAGAAGGCCUCGGUUGUAA
rnacentral:rRNA from 1 species